rnacentral:rRNA from 1 species
GAUGAACGCUGGCGGCGUGCCUAAUACAUGCAAGUCGAGCGAACAGACGAGGAGCUUGCUCCUCUGACGUUAGCGGCGGACGGGUGAGUAACACGUGGAUAACCUACCUAUAAGACUGGGAUAACUUCGGGAAACCGGAGCUAAUACCGGAUAAUAUAUUGAACCGCAUGGUUCAAUAGUGAAAGACGGUUUUGCUGUCACUUAUAGAUGGAUCCGCGCCGCAUUAGCUAGUUGGUAAGGUAACGGCUUACCAAGGCGACGAUGCGUAGCCGACCUGAGAGGGUGAUAGGCCACAAUGGAACUGAGACACGGUCCAGACUCCUACGGGAGGCAGCAGUAGGGAAUCUUCCGCAAUGGGCGAAAGCCUGACGGAGCAACGCCGCGUGAGUGAUGAAGGUCUUCGGAUCGUAAAACUCUGUUAUUAGGGAAGAACAAAUGUGUAAGUAACUAUGCACGUCUUGACGGUACCUAAUCAGAAAGCCACGGCUAACUACGUG